GCUGGGUAUGGUGGCGCACGCCUGUAAUCUCAGCAACCUGGGUGGCUGAGGCAGGAGGAUCUCAGGUUCAAGGCCUGCAUGGGCAACUUAGGGAUACCUUGUCUCAA
rnacentral:sRNA from 1 species